UAAAUUGAGAGUUUGAUCCUGGCUCAGGAUGAACGCUGGCGGCGUGCUUAACACAUGCAAGUCGAGCGAUGAAGUUUCCUUC
rnacentral:rRNA from 1 species